rnacentral:rRNA from 1 species
UACGAAGGGGGCUAGCGUUGUUCGGAAUUACUGGGCGUAAAGCGCACGUAGGCGGACAUUUAAGUCAGGGGUGAAAUCCCAGAGCUCAACUCUGGAACUGCCUUUGAUACUGGGUGUCUUGAGUAUGGAAGAGGUGAGUGGAAUUCCUAGUGUAGAGGUGAAAUUCGUAGAUAUUAGGAAGAACACCAGUGGCGAAGGCGGCUCACUGGUCCGGUACUGACGCUGAGGUGCGAAAGCGUGGGGAGCAAACAGG